AACACCUUCAAGUGUGGAUGUUUACACUCAUUUUCCAACUGGCAGGGUUUGUGGCUGGUAAAGUGCUGAACAAUUUCCAAUUAGCAAUUCAGUAGUAUUGCCUUACCCUGAUGCUUUAAUGCAUUCUUCUCCAUGGCUCCUACAAUUUGUAUACAAAGGAAAAUGCAAAGGAAAAUUUUACAAAAAACAGACAAUAAAAACCAGACUUUAUAAAGAACAAAUCGAGAUGCUAAGUUCCCACUCUUACCUUUUGUACAAGACUACACCAGUUAUCAAAAUCACAUUCUUCUUUGCAAAAGAAGCCCUUAGGGGAAAAAACAAACACACAGAGUUUUACCUUUGCAGAUGGUAGGUAUGUGGUACCAGCAGGUAAGGCGGUUUGGCCUCUGAUACAGUAAUGCCCUGUACGAUCAGUAGAUACAAGACUCCAAAUAUGUGGCAGCUCUAGGGAGAGAACCCACGGGGAGAACAAGGGCCUGCAAACCCCUAACGAAAUAGUCAAGCAAAAAAUAGCAGCAGCUCCUGUGUGCUCCUCCAUGGAGCGCCACCCAGUUCCUACAGUCCAGGUAUCAGCAGAAGCUGAAAACUUGUAGAUGAUGGACCACCUAAGGAACAUCUCCAUUCUGGUAUCUAUACUGAAAAUAUUUGCUCUUCAUUAUGAUUUUGUCUGUCUCGUUGCAUCAUGCCACAUUUUGCACAGUUACGUAGUUAAGUAUUAAAAAAAAACAAACAAAAAAACAAACUUUCUAAAAAGCAGCAGUAUUAAAAAACAGGUAUGUGAAUGAAUGACAGAUACUGGUAUCUUUACAGAUUGUUUAAAGCUUUAGAAACACAUCCCACUGGUGACAACUGCCAAUCACCCAAUCACAGGAUACUGGCAUGGGAUCAGAUCCAAUUUUUUCAAAUACCACAGUACCCCAUGACAUUUUGGGUGAAUUACAAAUAAUACAUUUGUAUUUGUAAUUUUGGGUGAAAUACAAUAAUUCCACUUAAACAUGUUUAAAUUAUGACAUAAAGUAAGUUUAAGUAACUUGUCUA
rnacentral:lncRNA from 1 species